rnacentral:rRNA from 1 species
GCACGGAGUUAGCCGGUGCUUAUUCGCCGGGUACCGUCAUCAUCGUCCCCGGCAAAAGGGCUUUACAACCCGAAGGCCUUCAUCACCCACGCGGCGUCGCUGGAUCAGGGUUGCCCCCAUUGUCCAAGAUUCCCCACUGCUGCCUCCCGUAGGAGUCUGGGCCGUGUCUCAGUCCCAGUGUGGCCGAUCAUCCUCUCAGACCGGCUACCGAUCACAGCCUUGGUGGGCCAUUACCCCACCAACCAGCUAAUCGGACGCGGGCCCAUCCCAGGGCGUGAACUUUCGCCCGCCUCGCGGCAGGCCGUAUCCGGUGUUAGCGGCGGUUUCCCGCCGUUAUCCCGAACCCCGGGGCAGGUUCCCACGCGUUACUCACCCGUGCGCCACUCACGGGCCGAAGCCCGCGCGUGCGACUUGCAUGUGUUAAGCGCGCCGCCAGCGUUCGUU